rnacentral:rRNA from 1 species
UGGCUCAGGAUGAACGCUAGCGGGAGGCCUAACACAUGCAAGCCGAGCGGUAUAGAUCUUUCGGGAUCUAGAGAGCGGCGUACGGGUGCGGAACACGUGUGCAACCUGCCUUUAUCUGGGGGAUAGCCUUUCGAAAGGGAGAUUAAUACCCCAUAAUAUAUCAGAUGGCAUCAUUUGAUAUUGAAAACUCCGGUGGAUAGAGAUGGGCACGCGCAAGAUUAGAUAGUUGGUGAGGUAACGGCUCACCAAGUCUACGAUCUUUAGGGGGCCUGAGAGGGUGAUCCCCCACACUAAUACUGAGACACGGACCAGACUCCUACGGGAGGCAGCAGUGAGGAAUAUUGGACAAUGGGUGAGAGCCUGAUCCAGCCAUCCCGCGUGAAGGACGACGGCCCUAUGGGUUGUAAACUUCUUUUGUAUAGGG